UUUUCUUUGAACGUAACUACGUAAUCAUAGCCUUACUGGUGCAAUAUUACCUUUUAUGCAGGUGCGAAUCAAUAAAUGAUACACAUAAUAUGUAGAAAGACGCGUUUAUUGGAAAACAGUUAGUUCUUGCGUUCUUAGAUGCCUGGAUUGGUGAUUAUUAAUUGUAUUAUGCAUUGGCACGUGCAUACUACUAUACAGACACAAAGGGAAGUAAUUAUACACACGGUGCAAUAUUCAUGUAUCAAAUUUGUCUUUGAAAAUAUAAGUUUGCAUAUGCAAGCCAUAUAUUCAGUAUCUUGUGCAGGAAUAUUCGCGUUGUGGAAAACUAAAUGUAAAACAGAAAAAUUCUCUAUCUGGGCAUCCAAAUGUUAUAUCGAUUUGUAUUUGUUUGUAAGUGAUACUCAACGAACUGAUUCUUUUUAAUGAUAUAGCUGUGAAAAAUAAGUGUUUUGUGAUUACAUCCACAGCCAAUCCUGUUCAUUACCAUAGACGCUACAAAUCGACGCAUAAUCCAAACUAAUACAUCUUUUCCAACUCGCCUUAUAUCAUGGUUCGCAAAAGAGUACAGAAGAGAAAAGCUUUAGACACAAAGUGAAAUUAUAUCAACUCGUUAUUUAUUUAUUAUUCUUAAUUAACCUGUUAAUCGGAGAAGAUUAGAAAUCUACGUUUUUUGUUAUAGAUUUCGCACUGACACAUCAUUAUGGGGUUCGAUGCCAUGAUAACUUCCUCCGAGCAAAGGAUAGCGUUAAUAACAAUAUUUCUCGGAUCUAAUGGUGAAUUGCAUACAUUUUUAUUCCUCCGAUUACUCAAUCACAUUUUUUUUUAGCGAAUUUAUGUGGUUGAUUUAUUAGACCAGGAUAACGCCUUCUUGCACAUCGCGUCUUCGAUGUGAUUAAAAUUUUAUAUCGAUAAUAUUAAUUGGUAUAAUUUGAAUAAAAUCGGGAUUUGCUCAAUAUCGAUAUUUGCAAAAGUUGUAAAAAUAAAAAAUAUGAAUAUGAUAUGACACGAACGUCCAUAGGCUAAUAUUAAUAAGGGCAUGAUAAUAGGACAAAACAGAAUAUGUAUCUUAUACUUUAGUAAUUAAAGUUGAGAAUUCCAUACCACACAUGCUGUAAUGUAAUAAAUAAAAUUUGUGUUCUUUAUAAAUAUA